GUGCUCACUUCAGCAGCAUAUAUACUAAAAAGUAGAAUGAUACAGAGAAGAUGAGCAUGGCCCCUGAACAUGGAUGGCACGCAAAUGUGUGAAGUGUUCUAAAUUUUA